GAUGAACGCUGGCGGCGUGCCUAAUACAUGCAAGUCGAACGAAACUUCUUUAUCACCGAGUGCUUGCACUCACCGAUAAAGAGUUGAGUGGCGAACGGGUGAGUAACACGUGGGCAACCUGCCCAAAAGAGGGGGAUAACACUUGGAAACAGGUGCUAAUACCGCAUAACCAUAGUUACCGCAUGUAACUAUGUAAAAGGUGGCUAUACUACCGCUUUUGGAUGGGCCCGCGGCGCAUUAGCUAGUUGGUAGGGUAAAGGCUUACCAAGGCAAUGAUGCGUAGCCGAAUUGAGAGGUUGAUCGGCCACAUUGGGACUGAGACACGGCCCAAACUCCUACGGGAGGCAGCAGUAGGGAAUCUUCCACAAUGGGCGAAAGCCUGAUGGAGCAACGCCGCGUGGGUGAAGAAGGUCUUCGGAUCGUAAAACCCUGUUGUUAGAGAAGAAAGUGCGUGAGAGUAACUGUUCACGUUUCGACGGUAUCUAACCAGAAAGCCACGGCUAACUACGUG
rnacentral:rRNA from 1 species